rfam:Camelus ferus unplaced genomic scaffold scaffold224, whole genome shotgun sequence.
GGUAUUUAUACAUCUUGGGGAGAUUUAGAGUAUAAACUCUAAUAUCUUUGGUAUUUAAGUGUCAACAUCGAUUUAUUUAUUUAUUGCCGAGCUGACUGUAACUGACUCAAUAACAAAUCUAAUCAUGUAUUGCACUGGGAAAGAAAUAUUCUUAUUAUGCAUUUUUUCCAAAUGAUGGCCCACCAUUGUAUUUGAAUACAUGCUGUAAAUAUCAGUAAUAUCAAGUAAUUACU